rnacentral:rRNA from 1 species
GUCUCGCGAAUGCUCUAGAUUAAGUUUGAUCAUGGCUCAGACUNGAACGCUNGCGGCAGGCCUAACACAUGCAAGUCGAACGGUAACAGGAAGCAGCUUGCUGCUUCGCUGACGAGUGGCGGACGGGUGAGUAAUGUCUGGGAAACUGCCUGAUGGAGGGGGAUAACUACUGGAAACGGUAGCUAAUACCGCAUAACGUCGCAAGACCAAAGAGGGGGACCUUCGGGCCUCUUGCCAUCGGAUGUGCCCAGAUGGGAUUAGCUAGUAGGUGGGGUAACGGCUCACCUAGGCGACGAUCCCUAGCUGGUCUGAGAGGAUGACCAGCCACACUGGAACUGAGACACGGUCCAGACUCCUACGGGAGGCAGCAGUGGGGAAUAUUGCACAAUGGGCGCAAGCCUGAUGCAGCCAUGCCGCGUGUAUGAAGAAGGCCUUCGGGUUGUAAAGUACUUUCAGCGGGGAGGAAGGUGUUGAGGUUAAUAACCUCAGCAAUUGACGUUACCCGCAGAAGAAGCACCGGCUAACUCCGUGCCAGCAGCCGCGGUAAUACGGAGGGUGCAAGCGUUACUCGGAAUUACUUGGGCGUNAAAGC